GCCAGACUCCUACGGGAGGCAGCAGUGGGGAAUAUUGGGCAAUGGGCGCAAGCCUGACCCAGCAACGCCGCGUGAAGGAAGAAGGCUUUCGGGUUGUAAACUUCUUUUGUCAGGGACGAAGCAAGUGACGGUACCUGACGAAUAAGCCACGGCUAACUACGUGCCAGCAGCCGCGGUAAUACGUAGGUGGCAAGCGUUAUCCGGAUUUAUUGGGUGUAAAGGGCGUGUAGGCGGGAAUGCAAGUCAGAUGUGAAAACUAUGGGCUCAACCCAUAGCCUGCAUUUGAAACUGUAUUUCUUGAGUGCUGGAGAGGCAAUCGGAAUUCCGUGUGUAGCGGUGAAAUGCGUAGAUAUACGGAGGAACACCAGUGGCGAAGGCGGAGUGCUGGACAGUAACUGACGCUGAGGCGCGAAAGCGUGGGGAGCAAACAGGAUUAGAUACCCCUGUAGAC
rnacentral:rRNA from 1 species